CGCCAGCUGCGGUGUUCGAGGAAGGCCGGGAAUCCUCUCGACCCUAAUUACUAACCUCGGGGCCGAAUCCUGUGGAUGCCAGUGUGCAGACCCGGCAAGUCCGGGUAGCCUGGAGCACCACGGUAGACCCCACUUAUUGCUCUGGCUCGAGAGCAAUGGUCAUAGACGGCACAUGCGGCGGCGC
rnacentral:other from 1 species